AUUGAACCAGCAACCUUUCAGUUACAAGUCCUGCUCCUUAACCACUAUGCUACACAGCUGCCUCACUGCCUGCACCAUGUAUUCUGGCUUUCUGUACAGGUGUUUCACACUGGAUGAAGUAAUGCCAGGAACAAUCAAUUCAUUGACUGAAGGAAGGAUGUGACAUUGAGUCAAAACAAGCAAAUAUUACAAGACUAAUUUAAGAAAAAUAAUAUAAAAAACCAUGAAACCACUCAAAACCUGAUCAGGACAAAUCGAACUGAGACUUGACACAGGGGCAUUCUCAGAUGUUGACAUCAUCAGAACAGGACGGUUGCCCUUCCUUUCCCGAUUCAUUAGGCUGAAAGGAGAGAGGCUGAGCCGUUUCCCAUCGCAGAGGGGUGGGGCCUUUGGCUGCCGCCGCCUCCUUCCCACCGCUGUCUGUACAUUAAUUGACCUGACGAUGGAUUGACGACGUGUGAUGACCGUGCUUCUCUCUCCAGACCUCUCCCGUCUGACUCGGAGGAGAGACCAGACAGGAAACCUUGAAAAUCUGUGCUGCCGUCUCCAAAUGAGCGUAACAACCCCGUCUCCUUAGCAACAUGUGCCCACAUCACUGUUGUUGGAAAAGUGCAUGUGGCAUGGGUGGCUGGUGAGGUACAGAUAGAGACAAUGUGGUGGCCCUUUGAGAAAGUCGAGAAAAGAGUGGCUUCAUGUUGGAGCUUGCUGUAGCUAUAGCCUUCAUUUUUUGUCACAGUUGACCUGCAAUCAAUGUUUUGGCGCACCUGGACAAGCAACGGCCUUGAUAAAGAAAAAUUAUGUAAUUAUACACUUCUGCUUGUUCCCAGAGCAGCUUAACCCAGUGAAACCCAUGUCAGGAUCAAGCAGAGGCACUUUGCGGAGAUGUAAAACGACGCGUGUUGCUUUAGUCCCCUCCCGGUAAGCGUUUCGCUCAGCUCGCAGCAGGAGAGGAUGGUAGUGAUGAUGGUGAACAGCUGUUCCUCAUUGGGCCUCCCCGCUGCCUGUGUACUAAGCUGCAGAACAUGUGCAUUGUGGUCACUCUCUCUAGCAGCCUGCCACCUGCCAGCAGUUUAUUAAAGCGGUAUAUUACAAAUCAACAGCCCUAAGUAGUUUUUCGUGCAAGUCUAGACAUCUCGCCCAUUGGUGGAUCCAUGCUCUGAGAGCAAUUAGAGUCUGAAACGGAAGCAGAGGAGUACUGAAGAGUGGUUUUGAAACUUAGAGACCUGAGGUUAUUGACUUUCAUUUUUCUUAAAUGGAACAGCUCCAAGGAUAUAUUCCUGUCUUCAAGUCUUAGACUCCAGUUCCAGUUCUGCACGGAUUUCUGCUCUGCGUAUCAUUGUAGGUGUUCGUGCAAUGGUAGACAAUUGCGCAGAUUAAAACAAGGAGAAUGUUUGUCCAUUUAGUCUGAGGGAAUCAUACAGACAGCGAUGUGUGCAUCCAAACUUUCAUUGUCAUUCUCCGAGUUUCCUCUUAGUAGCUGUGAUAUAUAAGCUCUUUAACAACAUGAAAGCUGCAGGCUUCAGAGUUAGCUAUCAUUGGCAAUGGAUUUGUGCUUGAGUUCAUUUAAAGAUACAGUAUAUGGAAACCAGCUUCUUUAAGUAACUGGGGUAUACUGAAAGGAGCAGUGAUAGAUAUCUGUUAUAUGAGAAAAGGAGCAAGUAUAUGUAGCUGAGGUGUAUGGAAAGGACUAGGUAUAGGUAGUUGAGGUAUAUGGAAAGCAAUGGGCACAGUAACCUCCUCGCUUUGUAAAUCUGUGAGAAACAGAACAGUGUUUGCUUGCGUUACUAGACAGCAAACAUGGGCCUUGCCAAAUUACUUCUAUUUAGAGCCAUUUAUCACUGUCUAAACAGAAAUGAGAGGCAAUAAGGUAAUGCUCAAGACAACACACAGACACAUUGGACGAUGUCUUUAAAGCCAGUAUUCUCGCACACAGAUUAUGAGAGAUUUCAACAAGAUCUCAACAUGAGGAGACGUUCACAUCUAUUCUGGCCAUGGGCAGCGCGUAUGUGUGUGUAUACGCGUGCAUGUAUGUGUGUGAGAGUGUGUGUCCACCUCUCUUUUAUUCUGAAAGAGGAACACUGCUGGAGCUUCUGGUCAUGGCAACAUCUGUUGCGAUUGUGUUUCCUUCUCAGCUCACAGUUCACCCCACAGCCCCACUAACACCUUAGAUUAAGACCUCUGCCUUUGCUAAAGCUCUGUAUCUCGCCGCUUCAGCGUUCAGGAAAAACAUGGACUGGCUCUGCAACCUGCCCCUGCCCCUAUCGCUCUCCCCUGCAUGACAUGGUGUUGCUGUUGGCAAGCUGAGGCCGGAUCUCUUCCAAGUCUUACUGUGGGGGCGAUGCUUUUCAGAUCUUUCAAAGAAAAUAUUUUGAGAGCCGAAAAAAGGGGCAUGGUGUCACCUGCGAGAGGGCAGAAACAGUGUGUCUCUUUAACUCAGUGAAAGCACUGAGGAUAAAACUGAACUUGCCCCUCACUGGCUUCACACGACUGUGUUUUUUUUUUUUUUAGAUCCAUUUCCAGAUUGAUUGACAAAAUAGCACCAACAUAUUGAUCAAGACAGUAUGCUGAAAAUUUUGAACCUUUAGUCUCAUCUUUAAAAAAAAAAACACAGAGCUGAAUAUUGAUCUUUUUAUGAGCGUAGUUUCAUAAAUUCUUCUACACACCUAUGGUUUUAAACUUUCGGCUGAACAAAGGGUGCAGUCCACGUCCAUGAAAACUGUAUAUUUCUUUUGGAUCUGCUGUCACAAUUUUGGCAGAGGAUAGAAGCACUGAUGGGCAAUUCCUGUGUAACUAACUUGUACACUGAUUAAGACAAUUUCACUGAUGAAGGACCUUGUAUGAAUACAGAUUGAUUGACCGCAGAACAAGACUGAAUCCCAGUAUUUUAAUCCCUUGGAGAAAAAAGCUGUCAAAAGUCAUUUCUGUCAACAAACACCUUGCAUAGCAAAAUCAUAAGAUUUUAUGUAAGCUUCAGGCCAUGCCUUGGUUAAAAACAGCCUUGGCUUGAUUACUUUCCCUGAAGAUCUACAGGAUAGGCAAUGCUGCACUCAGGCAUGGGAGUGGGAGAGAUUGUUACAUAGCUUUGCUCACUCCAUGAAGAUUAAAAUCCAGGGACAUAUCAGAGUCUCCCUGAAACACCUGCUUGUCUGCUAAUGAAAAUCAGAUCUUAAAAUCACUGAGCAGUAUCAUACAAUCCAGAGGUGUUGCUGGAUGUGGUGGUUCCGACAUCUAUACGCUAACGUGACUCGGUUUGACGUGAGAGGAGGAGAAUUCAAGUCCUGGGAAUUUUCAAGAGAGAGGUGUUCCAUAAUGCACACGUUAUGCUGAACGGACACUUGUGGACUAUUGGAGGGUUCCGAGGCAGAGACAUUAAGUAUGUAUUUGCUCAUUGACUUAUUUAGAGCUGAAUGAGGAGCUAGAUUCCCCUAAAGAUUCUUCACCAAUUUGUAAAUAAUGUAGACCACGGUAUAAGUCUGUAACACUUCGAGUUUGAGGUAUCCUUCUAACUUUUGAUACACAUUAGUAUACAUUUACAUGUAUUAACUUGGCAGUUGA